UCGCGAUGCAUCUAGAUUAGAGUUUGAUCCUGGCUCAGGAUGAACGCUGGCGGCGUGCCUAAUACAUGCAAGUCGAGCGAAUGGAUUAAGAGCUUGCUCUUAUGAAGUUAGCGGCGGACGGGUGAGUAACACGUGGGUAACCUGCCCAUAAGACUGGGAUAACUCCGGGAAACCGGGGCUAAUACCGGAUAACAUUUUGAACCGCAUGGUUCGAAAUUGAAAGGCGGCUUCGGCUGUCACUUAUGGAUGGACCCGCGUCGCAUUAGCUAGUUGGUGAGGUAACGGCUCACCAAGGCAACGAUGCGUAGCCGACCUGAGAGGGUGAUCGGCCACACUGGGACUGAGACACGGCCCAGACUCCUACGGGAGGCAGCAGUAGGGAAUCUUCCGCAAUGGACGAAAGUCUGACGGAGCAACGCCGCGUGAGUGAUGAAGGCUUUCGGGUCGUAAAACUCUGUUGUUAGGGAAGAACAAGUGCUAGUUGAAUAAGCUAACACCUUGACGGUACCUAACCAGAAAGCCACGGCUAACUACGUGCCAGCAGCCGCGGUAAUACGUAGGUGGCACGCGUUAUCCGGAAUUAUUGGGCGUAAAGCGCGCGCAGGUGGUUGCUUAAGUCUGAUGUGAAAGCCCACGGCUCAACCGUGGAGGGCCAUUGGAAACUGGGAGACUUGAGUGCAGAAGAGGAAAGUGGAAUUCCAUGUGUAGCGGUGAAAUGCGUAGAGCUAUGGAGGAACACCAGUGGCGAAGGCGACUUUCUGGUCUGUAACUGACACUGAGGCGCGAAAGCGUGGGGAGCAAACAGGAGUAGAUACCCUGGUAGUCCACGCCGUAAACGAUGAGUGCUAAGUGUUAGAGGGUUUCCGCCCUCCAGUGCUGAAGUUAACGCAUUAAGCACUCCGCCUGGGGAGUACGGCC
rnacentral:rRNA from 1 species